rnacentral:rRNA from 1 species
UACGUAGGGGGCUAGCGUUGUCCGGAUUUAUUGGGCGUAAAGAGCGUGUAGGCGGCCAGGUAGGUCUGCUGUGAAAAACUCGAGGCUCAACCUCGAGACGUCGGCGGAAAACCAUCUGGCUAGAGUCCGGAAGAGGAGAGUGGAAUUCCUGGUGUAGCGGUGAAAUGCGCAGAUAUCAGGAAGAACACCCGUGGCGAAGGCGGCUCUCUGGGACGGUACUGACGCUGAGACGCGAAAGCGUGGGGAGCGAACAGG